GAAAUGCGAUAAGUAAUGUGAAUUGCAGAAUUCAGUGAAUCAUCGAAUCUUUGAACGCACCUUGCGCUCCUUGGUAUUCCGAGGAGCAUGCCUGUUUGAGUGUCAUUUAAUUCUCAACCCCUCCAGUUUUCGUGACUGGCCUUAGGUGGUUUGGAUGUUGGGGGUAUUAAUUGCGGGCCUCUCUCUUGGAGGUCGGCUCCCCUGAAAUGUAUUAGCGGAACCGUUUGCGGGUCUGUCACUGGUGUGAUAAUUAUCUACGCCAAUGGAUGUCUGCUCUCUGGUCAGUUCUGCUUCAAAUUGUCCUCAUCUUGGACACUGAAUAACUGAACACUUGACCUCAAAUCAGGUAGGACUACCCGCUGAACUUAAGC
rnacentral:misc_RNA from 1 species